rnacentral:rRNA from 1 species
CAAUAGCGUAUAUUAAAGUUGUUGCAGUUAAAAAGCUCGUAGUUGGAUUUCUGAUCGAGACAUCAGGUCGGGUCCGAGAGGAUCAUGUACUUUGAUUUUGUUUUGAUCAUCCUUGGGGAGAGCAUUUCUGGCAUUCAGUUGUCGGGAUUGGGAUCCUCAUCGUUUACUGUGAAAAAAUUAGAGUGUUCAAAGCAGGCCUCGGCCUCUGAAUACAUUAGCAUGGAAUAAUAAGAUAGGACUUUGGUGGUCUAUUUUGUUGGUUUGCACGCCAAAGUAAUGAUUAAUAGGGAUAGUUGGGGGUAUUCGUAUUCAAUUGUCAGAGGUGAAAUUCUUGGAUUUAUGGAAGACGAACUACUGCGAAAGCAUUUACCAAGGAUGUUUUCAUCAA